rnacentral:lncRNA from 1 species
GGGACACAUGCUACCUGCUUACUGGACAGUGACUACUUAGGAUAAGGACUCAGGCAAGUAAGGUUGCAUUUUAGUCUCUCAGAUAUGGGGGGAAAAUUUUGGUGACAUUGGAGAGAGAGAUAAAUGAAAUAUUUUAUUAAAUUUAGAAUUUAAUGUAAAGUAGCAUAUACAGAGGCAAGAAACAGAAUAAUGUGUUUUAUGGUUGUCAGCUACCAUCUUUAAUUGACACACAAGUGGAGAAGAUAAAUAGUAAUUUGGAACCAAAACUCAGGACGUCCCAGGAGAGGCUAGAUUAGGAAUUCUUUGAUUUGGGAUCACGAAAAUGAAGUAUCCAUAUUUUAACAGAAUGAUUAGUGGCAGAGGAAUCAUCUAAGAAAACUGAGAAGACUCUGCCAGAGUGAUGGGAAGAAAACUAGAUGAGAAAGCACCAUUCUGGAAGACAUGCUCCCAUGAACCAUGGAGAGAAGAGGAGAGGGAAGAAGUUAUUUGUGAUGUCAUUUGCCUGUGUCAUGGCCUGCCUUCCCUAGAUAUUGUCCUAAUGUGAGCAUCACACCUAAGGUACUGAAGUAGAGUUCUGGCUGUUCCUUACGGACAUCUCU